CAGGGAGACAACAAAAUGUUUAAUAUUAUUAUUUUGUCACCUUAGGUCGAUCGGUAUCUCACGUUUUUAAUUUAUUAAGAAUUUCAUUUCCUAAGUUUUUCUAGGUCACACCCAUUAUUUUUCCUGGGCCAUUAGCUCAGGUGGUUAGAGCGCACCCCUGAUAAGGGUGAGGUCCCUGGUUCAAGUCCAGGAUGGCCCAUAUCUCUAUGUUGGGGGUAUAGCUCAGUUGGUAGAGCGCCUGCUUUGCAAGCAGGAUGUCAGCGGUUCGAGUCCGCUUACCUCCACUGAUUACCACCUCUUCCAUAAUUUUUAGAAGGGAAAUGUUUUGAGUUGUGAUCAAAUUCUGAACGAAUCUAGCUUCCUAAUGAAAUUAUUAAGAUGCUGGACUCAUUGAAUUAAUUUCAUUGUUUUCAGAGAACCUUGACAACUGCAUAGAUUAUUUUUAAAGACAAUAAGCAUCUUUAAUGAUGCAGAUUUAUUAUUUGUGCGAAUGCAUUAAUAACAAUUCUAUUAAGCUGAUGCUUCAAUUUUGAAGUUAUU
rnacentral:tRNA from 1 species